rnacentral:rRNA from 1 species
AGAGUUUGAUCCUGGCUCAGGAUGAACGCUAGCGACAGGCUUAACACAUGCAAGUCGAGGGGCAGCACAGGUAGCAAUACCGGGUGGCGACCGGCGCACGGGUGAGUAACGCGUAUGCAACUUACCUAUCAGAGGGGGAUAACCCGGCGAAAGUCGGACUAAUACCGCAUGAAGCAGGGGUCCCGCAUGGGGAUAUUUGCUAAAGAUUCAUCGCUGAUAGAUAGGCAUGCGUUCCAUUAGGCAGUUGGCGGGGUAACGGCCCACCAAACCGACGAUGGAUAGGGGUUCUGAGAGGAAGGUCCCCCACAUUGGUACUGAGACACGGACCAAACUCCUACGGGAGGCAGCAGUGAGGAAUAUUGGUCAAUGGGCGUAAGCCUGAACCAGCCAAGUCGCGUGAGGGAUGAAGGUUCUAUGGAUCGUAAACCUCUUUUAUAAGGGAAUAAAGUGUGGGACGUGUCCUAUUUUGUAUGUACCUUAUGAAUAAGGAUCGGCUAACUCCGUGCCAGCAGCCGCGGUAAUACGGAGGAUCCGAGCGUUAUCCGGAUUUAUUGGGUUUAAAGGGUGCGUAGGCGGCCUUUUAAGUCAGCGGUGAAAGUCUGUGGCUCAACCAUAGAAUUGCCGUUGAAACUGGGGGGCUUGAGUAUGUUUGAGGCAGGCGGAAUGCGUGGUGUAGCGGUGAAAUGCUUAGAUAUCACGCAGAACCCCGAUUGCGAAGGCAGCCUGCCAAGCCAUGACUGACGCUGAUGCACGAAAGCGUGGGGAUCAAACAGGAUUAGAUACCCUGGUAGUCCACGCAGUAAACGAUGAUCACUAGCUGUUUGCGAUACAGUGUAAGCGGCACAGCGAAAGCGUUAAGUGAUCCACCUGGGGAGUACGCCGGCAACGGUGAAACUCAAAGGAAUUGACGGGGGCCCGCACAAGCGGAGGAACAUGUG